GACGAACGCUGGCGGCGUGCUUAACACAUGCAAGUCGAACGGAAAGGCCCUGCUUUUGUGGGGUGCUCGUGUGGCGAACGGGUGAGUAACACGUGAGUAACCUGCCCUUGACUUUGUGAUAACUUCAGGAAACUGGGGCUAAUACCGGAUAGGAGCUCCUGCUGCAUGGUGGGGGUUGGAAAGUUUCGGCGGUUGGGGAUGGACUCGCGGCUUAUCAGCUUGUUUGUGGGGUAGUUGCUUACCAAGGCUUUGACGGGUAGCCGGCCUGAGAGGGUGACCGGGCACAUUGGGACUGAGAUACGGACCAGAAUGCUACGGGCGGCAGCAGGGGGGAAUAUUGCACAAUGGGCGGAAGCCUGAUGCAGCAGCGCCGCGUGCGGGAUGACGGCCUUCGGGUUGUAAACCGCUUUCGCCUGUGACGAAGCGUGAGUGACGGUAAUGGGUAAAGAAGCACCGGCUAACUACGUG
rnacentral:rRNA from 1 species